CCUACGGGAGGCUGCAGUAGGGAAUUUUCGUCAAUGGGCGCAAGCCUGAACGAGCAAUGCCGCGUGAACGAGGAAGGUCUUCGGAUCGUAAAGCUCUGUUGAAGGGGAAAAAGAGCGGAGAGAGGAAAUGGUCUCCGAUUGAUAUUACCCUUCGAGGAAGUCACGGCUAACUACGUGCCAGCAGCCGCGGUAAUACGUAGGUGGCGAGCGUUAUCCGGAAUGAUUGGGGGUAAAGGGUGCGUAGGCGGCCUGCUAAGUCUGGAGGGAAAGGUACCGGCUCAACCGGGACAGGCUCUGGAAACUGGCGGGCUAGAGUGCAGGAGAGGGAGGUGGAAUGCCAUGUGUAGCGGUAAAAUGCGUAGAUAUAAGGAAGAACACCAGUGGCGAAGGCGGCCGCCUGGCCUGUGACUGACGCUGAGGCACGAAAGCGUGGGGAGCAAAUAGGAUUAGAUACCCUUGUAGUC
rnacentral:rRNA from 1 species